AUUGAACGCUGGCGGCAGGCCUAACACAUGCAAGUCGAACGAGCGGCGGACGGGUGAGUAAUGUAUGGGCAACUGCCUGAUGGAGGGGGAUAACUACUGGAAACGGUAGCUAAUACCGCAUACCAUCAGAUGCGCCCAGAUGGGCUUAGCUAGUAGGGGGGGUGAUGGCCCUCCUAUGCGACGAUCUCUAGCUGGUCUGAGAGGAUGACCAGCCACACUGGUACUGAGACACGGCCCAGACUCCUACGGGAGGCAGCAAUGGGGAAUAUUGCACAAUGGGGGCAAGCCUGAUGCAGCCAUGCCGCGUGUAUGAAAGAGGCGUUGGGGUUGUAAAGCACUUUCAGCGAGGAGGCGUUACUCUCAGAAGAGGCACCGGCUAACUCCGUGCCAGCAGCCGCGGUAAUAC
rnacentral:rRNA from 1 species